rnacentral:miRNA from 1 species
UGAGUAUUUCUCCAGGUACUGA